GGCGUCUGUAAACGAAAUCUCCAGCCAAGCCCUACCAGAGACCUUCAGACGGGGCAGCCGGCAGGGAACAGCAAUCUGCCUCUUGCAGGCAUCCCCCCGAGCCCAUCCCCGCCGCGGGACCGUGCCACGGGGCUGUCCUCCAGCUCCACGUGGCCACCUCCAUGUUACCUCGCUAUCUCGGCCGGCAGCUGCCUCUCCAUGAACUCCCGCAUGCACUGGUGCUCGGUCGAAUUCGUGAGGAAGAGGCGGAAAGACUGGAGGCAUGGAGAGGCUGCAAAGACUUGGUCUGGAUUAGAAGAAAGUGCAACACACAUCUCCAGAGAUGCUGGCAGAUGUCUCUAUCUGUUUUUUUUAAGUCUAUCACGUCUUGUCCUAACUGGCAAGGAGAAAGAGGUCCUCUUCCUUCUCGCGGGUCCCGUGCUUAAGGACCACACUGCCGCUCUUACCAUCAGAUCUGACUUCCCCGCAGAGGUUACGUACCCAGCCACCUCUCGUUUUUACGGCUCCCCUUGGACUGUCUCCAGCCAAGCCCUGUUGUUGUCGAAGCGCAGCAGCCAACAGCCGAAGCCUCCCACCCGCUGAGCUCCCCCGGCUCCCCGCGCAGCCGGGACGGCUUCCCUCACCCCACCGAGCCCCCGCUCCCCUUUGCCUUCACUCACCAGCGUGACCUCUGAAAUACAAACCAUGGAUUUUCCAGACUACUUUUCUUGUCCCUUUGAGUUAUAAUUCUGUCCUCAGUGGUGCUCCCAGUCCCUCGCAGCUGCACAUCGAAUAACAACAGUCUCGUCCCUCCCCCAGAUCAUGAACGGAAACACAAAAGAAUAUCAGGCUCGGAUUCAUACUCGUCAUUGCCUCCCUUUCUGGCAGUGAACUGGUGAUGACUUUUCUGACUAACUAUGCAACCAGUUUUCCACCCACCCAAUAGAUGCCGCAUCGAGGCCACGUCUUCCUCACUUGUUUAUGAGAAUGUCAUACCAGAGGGUGCCAACCCUAAAGCCUCUGUAUAGGAGCGACUCCUUCUCCCCUGUACGCUGGGCAGUUACAGCACCGGCAGAAAGAUGGGCUUGGCACAAUGUCUCCCUAGCAUCUCCACGUUCCCUGGCCAUCCCCUUGUUCUAUUUCUGGUGCUCACUCCUUUUCAAAGGACAAUUUCUAGGGACAGCCAUCUUGCCGAGCAGCUGUAGGUCCCCAACUCCUCCUGCUCCUCCUGUCUCCUUUCCAAUGAUAACGUGAGCUGCUUGGUUUUGCCCACCUUCCCUUGCUGCACGUGCCAAAGGUAACAUCCAACUCAUGACACAUUUUGGUUUUGCAUCUCAUGAGCCACAUCUCCGCACAUUCCAAAGGUUCCCACAGGAGGAUGCAUGGUGCAGGCUAGUGGUGAUGCACCUCCUCUAGCACGUGCUGCUACCAGAGCCGUUAGGUCAAUUAGCAACGCCUGUUAAUUGCCGUCCUUGAGACAGUCCCAAAGACCAGCAGCAACCUCCGGAGCAGGACCCAAGGUGUGAUUUCACACCCACACCACCGCCGAGGCACAGCUGGAUUUCAGCACGCUCCUCACACCCUAGCCCUGCAGACAGCAAGGAUGCUUUUGAAGGAAAAAACAGCAAAUCCGAGUACGUUAAACAGUAACAGUGAUGAAAGGGGCCUGGUAACAAGUAGAUGGGAGAGCUUUAAAAACUUUGCUGGGUCCCAGAUGCCAAUGAGGGCCGGUUCGGAGCGGCAUGGGAAGGCGAUGGCCCCCCCGCCGGCCACGGAGCUCACCCCCUGCCACCUGCUUCAGUGAGCCUGGUGGUGUUAGAUAAGAGAGGCGAUCUGGCCCAUGCAUUAGCCACAGACCAACAGACACAGCUGAGUUGACUCUAUUCGGUGGAGGACAACCACUUGCAGGGCAGUGUCUGCCUCUCAGGCUGCCCACCCAGCCCAGCUGCCACACCUGAGCCCGCUGGCAGGCACACCGACACCCCCGGAUCCUUCCCCAGACGGCCAUCACUGGAAUCCCCAGCAAAAUCUGAAUUAACCUGCGGAAAACAAGUAUGAAUUUUGCCAGAGAGAGUAAGGGAGCAAACACCUGGAUGUACGUCAGGGAUGCUGCGAGCGAUGCUGGGAGCCAGCCCUCGCUGAAGGAGGAAAGGUGCAAGGGAACGUGCCCUGCCACAUGUCCCCGGGGUGGCCACCAGCCGUGUCCACAGCAAUGCAGGAUUUCCCGUAGGCUGUGCCCAUCCACAAGCUCCAACAGCCUCAUCGGUCCCACGGCAGAAGUGGGAAUAGCAGCACAAAAGUAUCCACUGAAGAUUUAGAAGUGUUGUGACGACUGGUUAAUCAACUGAUGCCUUCAGAGAGGAAAAGUGCUAAGUUAACCAAAAAGCUGGGUACAGGCAGGGCAUUGGGGCCGGCUGCUGGUUACGUGCGUAAAGCCAGGUGAUUACAGGCGUAACGCUGCAUAAUGCUGAUUUUGUCUUGGAAGAGAUGGCAGUGCCAGAAUAGACCACCGGUCACGCACAGGGCUGCAGCGACCCUCGCUUGGGUGAAGAUCCAUCCCUUUGGAGCAGGGAUCAAAGCCUGGAGUCACAGCUCAGCAAAGCUGAGCUUGGGAACAGGCAGGGGAUGGAUCCGCGUGCAAUAUCCUCCCUGCCUUAACAAAACCCGAGAGUCCAAAGUACGUGGGUCAGAUCUAGGAAACUGGAUUUUCAAGAGGCGGCAGGAGUGGGAAAGGCUGGGCAGGAAAGACCUAAUUUCUGUCCUCUCACCAGGCUUCAAAGCAUCUGUAGAUGGACCAAAUAUCUGAGCCCAGAGACCCAGGAGUUUAUUGGGCUCACCUCUGGAUCUGAUUGAAUCGCACUCAGCCAGCCCAAUAAAAGCAGAAGCUAGACGUUGCUUAAUGUCUAAAGAAUUAUUUCUGCUGUCUUCUAAUAAAGCACGCUGAUGUAAGCUGGAGUUGAUAACAAGAUCACUGCGCUGGGGUAGCAAAAUCUCAUUUUACAGGACAACCGAACUGUCAGUGCCAAAGAGCGGACAGGUUAUUGCUCAUGCUUCUCCAAGGUUGCUUUUAUUAAAAUGGAAAUUUCCCAAGCUUUGCAUGCACACACACGCGGCCACGGGUGCAGACAUCCCUUCGAGGGGGAGAGGGGCCAGCCGCAAGGCCACAGCCGCCUGCGGCUCAUGACUUGCAACCCUUACAAACCGGGGUCGCUCAGGGGAACGGCAGCACGGCAGUGAAGGGGCUCAUGUCUUCACAGCCCCCAUCCUCACCACGGCUUUGGGGUGGGUUUGCAGGUACAGCAGCCCCGGGUGGGUGCGAUGGGCUCCCCCAUGGCUGCACAUCAUGAAUUUCCCAUCUGAUCUGAGUGAGGAUUUGCUCUCCCUCCUCAAACCCAGUGUAGGCAUCAUCACCUUAAAACUGGGCUUUUCACACUUUGGACUAACACAGUUCUUCAUGCAAGAGGGAGGCAGCAGCCCAGCCCCUCUCCAGCACAGCC